UGAGUACGAGCUGCUACGGCAGCGAGGUGGGUGAUGUCAUGCUUCCAAGAAAAGCCCUAUACCCGUUAAGGCAUGAUGGCCUGUACCCGAAACCGACACAGGUGGGGUGGUAGAGAAUACCGAGGGGCGCGAGGUAACUCUCUCUAAGGAACUCGGCAAAAUGGCCCCGUAACUUCGGGAGAAGGGGUGCCACCGCAAGGUGGUCGCAGUGAAGAGGCCCAGGCGACUGUUUACCAAAAACACAGGUCUCCGCUAAGUCGCAAGACGAUGUAUGGGGGCUGACGCCUGCCCAGUGCCGGAAGGUUAAGGAAGCUGGUCAGCGUAAGCGAAGCUAGCGACUGAAGCCCCGGUGAACGGCGGCCGUAACGAUAACGGUCCUAAGGUAGCGAAAUUCCUUGUCGGGUAAGUUCCGACCCGCACGAAAGGCGUAACGAUCUGGGCGCUGUCUCGGAGAGAGGCUCGGCGAAAUAGAAUUGUCUGUGAAGAUGCGGACUACGUGCACCCGGACAGAAAGACCCUAUGAAGCUUUACUGUAGCUUGGUAUUGUGCUCGGGCUCGGAAUGCGCAGGAUAGGUGGGAGGCUAUGAACCAUUGCUUGCGGGUGAUGGUGAGCCACUGGUGAGAUACCACUCUUUCCGAGCUAGAGUUCUAACAGCCACCCGUUAUCCGGGGGCUGGACAGUAUCAGGUGGGCAGUUUGACUGGGGCGGUCGCCUCCUAAAAGGUAACGGAGGCGCGCAAAGGUUUGUUCAGGCUGGUUGGAAAUCAGCCGACGAGUGUAAAAGCAGAAGCAAGCUUGACUGUGAGACCUACAAGUCGAACAGGGAGGAAACUCGGCUUUAGUGAUCCGACGGUUCUGCGUGGAAGGGCCGUCGCUCAACGGAUAAAAGUUACUCUAAGGAUAACAGGCUGAUCUCCCCCAAGAGUUCACAUCGACGGGGAGGUUUGGCACCUCGAUGUCGGCUCAUCGCAACCUGGGGCUGAAGUCGGUCCCAAGGGUUGGGCUGUUCGCCCAUUAAAGCGGUACGCGAGCUGGGUUCAGAACGUCGUGAGACAGUUCGGUCCAUAUCCGGUGCAUGCGCAGGAAUAUUGAGAGGAUUUCUCCCUAGUACGAGAGGACCGGGAGGAACGCACCUCUGGUACCAGUUAUCGUGCCAACGGUAAACGCUGGGUAGCCAUGUGCGGAGAGGAUAACCGCUGAAAGCAUCUAAGUGGGAAGCCCACCUCAAGAUGAGUAUUCCCAUGGGGUAACCCAGUAAGGUCACGGAAGAACACCCGUUGAUAGGCUCUACGUGGAAGCGCAGUAAUGUGUGAAGCGGAGGAGUACUAAUAGACCGAGGGCUUGAC
rnacentral:rRNA from 1 species